rnacentral:rRNA from 1 species
AAGGGGGUCAUCCCGACUUACCAACCCGAUGCAAACUGCGAAUACCGGAGAAUGUUAUCACGGGAGACACACGGCGGGUGCUAACGUCCGUCGUGAAGAGGGAAACAACCCAGACCGCCAGCUAAGGUCCCAAAGUCAUGGUUAAGUGGGAAACGAUGUGGGAAGGCCCAGACAGCCAGGAUGUUGGCUUAGAAGCAGCCAUCAUUUAAAGAAAGCGUAAUAGCUCACUGGUCGAGUCGGCCUGCGCGGAAGAUGUAACGGGGCUAAACCAUGCACCGAAGCUGCGGCAGCGACGCUGAUGCGUUGUUGGGUAGGGGAGCGUUCUGUAAGCCUGCGAAGGUGUGCUGUGAGGCAUGCUGGAGGUAUCAGAAGUGCGAAUGCUGACAUAAGUAACGAUAAAGCGGGUGAAAAGCCCGCUCGCCGGAAGACCAAGGGUUCCUGUCCAACGUUAAUCGGGGCAGGGUGAGUCGACCCCUAAGGCGAGGCCGAAAGGCGUAGUCGAUGGGAAACAGGUUAAUAUUCCUGUACUUGGUGUUACUGCGAAGGGGGGACGGAGAAGGCUAUGUUGGCCGGGCGACGGUUGUCCCGGUUUAAGCGUGUAGGCUGGUUUUCCAGGCAAAUCCGGAAAAUCAAGGCUGAGGCGUGAUGACGAGGCACUACGGUGCUGAAGCAACAAAUGCCCUGCUUCCAGGAAAAGCCUCUAAGCAUCAGGUAACAUCAAAUCGUACCCCAAACCGACACAGGUGGUCAGGUAGAGAAUACCAAGGCGCUUGAGAGAACUCGGGUGAAGGAACUAGGCAAAAUGGUGCCGUAACUUCGGGAGAAGGCACGCUGAUAUGUAGGUGAAGUCCCUCGCGGAUGGAGCUGAAAUCAGUCGAAGAUACCAGCUGGCUGCAACUGUUUAUUAAAAACACAGCACUGUGCAAACACGAAAGUGGACGUAUACGGUGUGACGCCUGCCCGGUGCCGGAAGGUUAAUUGAUGGGGU